UUGGCUAAAGGUCUGCUAAAGCACAGGAAAUGCUGGCUAUAAAUCCUGCAGUGCAGUACAGAAUGCAUAACAUUUAUAUGUACACUGACUCUGACAACAUACUGCACCGAUAUGUUCCUGGACAGACAGAGAAUAUACGCAUGGUUAACGAUCACUGCUGUGUUACUUUCAGGUGGAGAAUGUGCAGAAACUGUCAAUCAGACAGCAGUUUUAACUGCAGUAGAAGGGACCGUGGCUACAAUUCCCUGUAAUCAUUCUGUAUCAGGUUAUGACAAUAUCCAGUGGUACAAUCAGACUGUUAAUGGUAUCCCAAAGCUCAUACUGAUUACCUAUAAGAACCUCGAAAGCUCUGGACGAUUUACUGUUAGUGUUGACAAAGGAAACAAGUCCACAAGCCUUUCAAUUGCUGGCGUAGAUGUUAAAGAUGCCGGUACCAUCUACUACUGUGCAGUGAGUGACACAGUAUGAGAACACAAUUUUACAACAGCACUAUAUCCCAGUUGGUAUAAAAUGCCUUAUUCUAUAUAAUACAUGAAAUGGUUUGUGUUUUGUAAUAAAUAAUUAAACAAAAGAAAGUUAAUGACAUUCACUUCAAAGAAAAAAUAAUAAUAAACACUUCAAAGAAAAAAUAACAAUAAAUAAAAUGGUUAAUGUUUUGUGAAAAAGUAACAUCCAUGUGAAAAAUAAUAGUAAAUGAAAUUGUUCAUAUUUUGUAAAACAUGUGCAAUAAUUGUGUUGUUUUUAAUGACUGUUAUUUUGUCUUAAAAGAAAGAAGAAAUUGGCUUGCUCCACAGCAGAGAGGGAUGAAACAUAGACUAUAACUAGGUGAACCAGAUGACCCAGGCUUAGUUAGUCAAGCUGAUCCCUGAGAUGUUGGUUGAGGGGAUGAGGGCAGAGUGGCAUUUUUGCUCAUUUGCAAACCCCAGUGCAGAUGUGAGGUUUGUGGCCAGAAACCACCAAUUCUUAGUGAAGGAAAAGGACUAUAGCCUAGUGGCCUAUGCAUUAUGAAUGGCAUACUGAAUAUUAAUGUGCAAGUGGGUAGAGCAAAACAAAAACUGUCCUAAGCAUCUGUUAGGGAGGUGUUGUAGCAUCACACCCUUAUCUUGUCUCCCUGCUUUCUGGAAUCUGCUGUGUAAAGAAUCAUCUGUUUAAGGGGCCAUGGUCAGACAAGUGCUGAGACUGUCAUACCAGAAGACCAAGGUGGGGAUCUGAAAUGUGAUAGAUUGCAGGCAAAUGUGGCAGGAAUCUUUAACAUUAAAAGGGUCAGUAUAUCAUUUUAUCUGUAACAAUCAGUGCAUGUUGAGUUUUCAUGUUAAUUAUUUAGUUUAAUUCGGUUAGUUUCAUUUUCAGUUUGGAAGACAACCCUUACUAGUUAAAUCAGAAAGCCUAAUAAAUUAUUGGGUGCAAAUAGAUAGCAUCUUAUAAUUAUUGAAAUGAUAAUAAAGCUCAGUAGCAUCUGACCCUUUUCCUGAGGCUGUGUGAUCCUAGAAUCUUAUUUAAGUUGGAAGGGGGGUAGCCUACCUCAGUAUAAUCAGGGCCAAUUUUCUUAGUUCUUAAGGAAAAAAAUGUCAAUUUGAUAGCUAUAAUGUGCAGUGACUUUCAUUCCAUUAGUCAUUAGAAAGCCAUUAAAUUGAUAAUUUUAAGUUAACAUAUGUGUGCUUCUUCAAUGCAGAUAGUAUUGUAUGGA